CCUACGGGAGGCAGCAGUGGGGAAUAUUGCACAAUGGGGGAAACCCUGAUGCAGCGACGCCGCGUGAGUGAGGAAGUAUUUCGGUAUGUAAAGCUCUAUCAGCAGGGAAGAAAAUGACGGUACCUGACUAAGAAGCCCCGGCUAACUACGUGCCAGCAGCCGCGGUAAUACGUAGGAGGCAAGCGUUAUCCGGAUUUACUGGGUGUAAAGGGAGCGUAGACGGAAUAGGAAGUCGGAUGGGAAAGCCCUGGGCGCAACCACGGGAGUGAAGUGGAAACUGUUGAUCUAGAGUGUGGGAGAGGUAAGCGGAAUGCGUGGUGUAGCGGUGAAAUGCAUAGAUAUUAGGAAGAACACCGAUGGCGAAGGCGGCUUGCUGGACGAUAACUGACGUUGAGGCACGAAAGCGUGGGGAUCAAACAGGAUUAGAUACCCGAGUAGUC
rnacentral:rRNA from 1 species